AUGGUGCAACGUUUCGGUCACAUCGACCUUAAUCAGGCAUCUGCAGCCUUUAACCUUUAUGGUUCUGACAUGGGUUGUUGUUCAAACUCAUCUCUAAUGUGUGUUCUGUUCAGAGCUGUGUGCUCUUCUUACCCUGAUGUCCUGUGUUUCCUCUCCUCCUCCUCUCCUCCUCCUCUCCUCCUCUCCACAGGCUGGCCGUCUAACCCUCCACCGCCAGAGAGAGUGACCUAUAAAUCCAGUAGCAAACCACGCGCUAGAUUCCUCAGUGGGCCUGUGUCUCUGUCUAUCUGUUUGUAUCUCCUCCUCUCCUCCAGCGCUCCAACACUCACUCUGCUCCUCGUCCUCCUGCACUGCUCUCCUUCUUCUCCUCAUCCUCUCCUCCAUCGCUCCACCACUCACACUGCUCCUUGUCCUCCUGCACUGCUCUCCUUCUCCUCUUCUCAUGUCCUCUUCUUUUAUCUUCCUUGGUUCUCCUCGUCUUCACUUCACUCCUAUCCCUCAUCUCUUCAUCUCCUCCUCUUUACUGUCUCACUCCUAUCCCUCAUCUCUUCAUCUCCUUCUCUUUACUGUCUCACUCCUAUCCCUCAUCUCUUCAUCUCCUUCUCUUUACUGUCUCACUCCUAUCCCUCAUCUCUUCAUCUCCUCCUCUUUACUGUCUCACUCCUAUCCCUCAUCUCUUCAUCUCCUUCUCUUUACUGUCUCACUCCUAUCCCUCAUCUCUUCAUCUCCUUCUCUUUACUGUCUCAAUCCUAUCCCUCAUCUCUUCAUCUCCUCCUCUUUACUGUUUCACUCCUAUCCCUCAUCUCUUCAUCUCCUCCUCUUUACUGUCUCACUCCUAUCCCUCAUCUCUUCAUCUCCUUUUCUUUACUGUCUCAUUCCUAUCCCUCAUCUCUUCAUCUUUACUGUCUCAUUCCUAUCCCUCAUCUCUUCAUCUCAUUCUCUUUACUGUCUCAUUCCUAUCCCUCAUCUCUUCAUCUCCUUCUCUUUACUGUCUCACUCCUAUCCCUCAUCUCUUCAUCUCUUCAUCCUCUACCUUAUCUAUUUUCCUCUAACAUUUCUCUUCCCCCCUCCCCCCAUCCCAUCUUCUCCUCUGUAUCUCUCUGA
rnacentral:lncRNA from 8 species